rnacentral:rRNA from 1 species
GUGGGGAAUCUUAGACAAUGGGCGCAAGUCUGAUCUAGCCAUGCCGCGUGAGCGAUGAAGGCCUUAGGGUUGUAAAGCUCUUUCGCUGGGGAAGAUAAUGACUGUACCCAGUAAAGAAGCCCCGGCUAACUCCGUGCCAGCAGCCGCGGUAAUACGGAGGGGGCUAGCGUUGUUCGGAAUUACUGGGCGUAAAGCGCGCGUAGGCGGAUUGGAAAGUUGGGGGUGAAAUCCCGGGGCUCAACCUCGGAACUGCCUUCAAAACUCCCAGUCUUGAGUUCGAGAGAGGUGAGUGGAAUUCCGAGUGUAGAGGUGAAAUUCGUAGAUAUUCGGAGGAACACCAGUGGCGAAGGCGGCUCACUGGCUCGAUACUGACGCUGAGGUGCGAAAGCGUGGGGAGCAAACAGGAUUAGAAACCCGGGUAGUCC